GCCUGCUGCCAUACCACCCUGAAUACCUUGAUCUCAGAACCAAGCAGGUUUGGGCCUGGAUAGUACUUGGAUGGGAGAAUGGAGGCUUUGUUGUGGAGCACU
rnacentral:rRNA from 1 species